AGCAGCCGCGGUAAUUCCAGCUCCAAUAGCGUAUAUUAAAGUUGUUGCAGUUAAAAAGCUCGUAGUUGAAUUUCGGGAUUAGUAGUCUGGUCGUGCCACUGGUAUGUACUGGUCUUACUGAUUUCUCCUUCCUGAAGAACUGUAAUGUCAUUAAUUUGGUGUUGCGGGGAAUCUGGACUGUUACUUUGAAAAAAUUAGAGUGUUUAAAGCAGGCUAACGCUUGAAUACAUUAGCAUGGAAUAAUGAAAUAGGACGAUCGAUCCUAUUUUGUUGGUUUCUAGGAUUGACGUA
rnacentral:rRNA from 1 species